GCGGCGUGCUUAACACAUGCAAGUCGAACGGAAGCUUUGCUUCAGUGGCAAACGGGUGAGUAAUACGUAGGAAUCUGCCUAGCAGUGGGGGACAACAGUUGGAAACGACUGCUAAUACCGCAUAACACCACUUGUGGGAAAGGCUUCGGUCGCUGUUAGAUGAGCCUACGCCCGAUUAGCUAGUUGGUAGUGUAAUGGACUACCAAGGCUAAGAUCGUUAGUCGGUCUGAGAGGACGAAC
rnacentral:rRNA from 1 species